GCCUCUGGAGCUUGCUCUCCCUGUUGCGGAAGCGAAGCGUAGGGGUGGCCUCGAGCACGACUGAAUUCUGGAUGUUGUGUGGAGGAUGAAGAGUGGGACUUGCAGGAAGACAACUUAGUCCUCCCAGAGGACUUAUGCGGAGUGGUUGCUGCUGAGAUUGCUCCUUGAUGAUACCCGAGGAAAGCCUUUGAGGAAGGGUGACUUCCUGUUGAUUGCAGAGGAGCUGGUCAAAGGAAAGAUGCGUGAGAACUGGAAGAUAGCUGGUGUCGCUGCAGCCUUCGGAAGGGGUGAGGAUGGCCCGCGCAAAGGUAGGCCAGU